CUGAAUUGCUUGCCCCUACCUCCUGGGAGCCAACCCCCAUGGAACCAAGGAUGAAACUGUUACUCCUUUUCUCCUUUCUGUUAUCAGCACCCACAUCUGUCCUCACUCAGGUGCAGGUGGUGGCAUCUGGCCCAGGGUUGGUAAAACCUGGAGACAUCCUCACCAUGACCUGCUCCGUCUCUGGUGUCUCUAUUACUGACAGCAGCUAUGACUGGCACUGGAUCCGGCACCCUCCUGGAAAUGUGUUGGAGUGGAUGGGACGGAUUUACCCAAAUAACGGUAAUACUAACUAUGCUUCGUCUCUGCAGAGCCGAAUCAUGAUUUCUGCAGCUACCUCCAAGAACCAGUUCUUCCUGCAGUUGCACUCCCUGACAGCUGCAGACACAGCCAUGUAUUACUGUGGAGGACACAGUGCCCUGUCCCAAGUACAGCUGAUCCAGUCUGGCCAAGGCAUGGCAAAGCCUGGAGAGACCCUCACCCUGACCUGCACUGUCUCUGGAGAAUCCAUCAAUACAAGCAGCGAAUGGUGGCACUGGAUCCAGCAGCCUCAAGCAACAGGGCUGGAGUAG